GAUGAACGCUAGCGGGAGGCUUAACACAUGCAAGCCGAGGGGUAUAGUUCUUUCGGGAACUAGAGACCGGCGCACGGGUGCGUAACGCGUAUGCAACUUGCCCUACUGAAAAGGAUAGCCCUUCGAAAGGAGGAUUAAUACUUUAUAACAGAUUUACUGGCAUCAUUAGAUUUUGAAAGAUUUAUCGCAGUAGGAUAGGCAUGCGUAAGAUUAGUUAGUUGGUGAGGUAACGGCUCACCAAGACGAUGAUCUUUAGGGGGCCUGAGAGGGUGAACCCCCACACUGGUACUGAGACACGGACCAGACUCCUACGGGAGGCAGCAGUGAGGAAUAUUGGACAAUGGGUGGAAGCCUGAUCCAGCCAUCCCGCGUGUAGGAGGACGGCCUUAUGGGUUGUAAACUACUUUUAUCUGGGGAUAAACCUACUUACGGGUAAGUAGCUGAAGGUACCAGAAGAAUAAGCACCGGCUAACUCCGUG
rnacentral:rRNA from 1 species